rnacentral:misc_RNA from 1 species
GAGACACGUGAGAAACUCCAGAUGAUCCGGGUGAAGUUCCUACGUCUAGCCCUUCGGCUUGGCCAAACACCCCACAAUGUUGUCGUCGCACAGGUUCUUUACAGACUUGGUCUUGCGGAACAACUCAGUAGGAACACCAAUCGCCCAGGCGUCUUUAGUUUCGACCAAGCUAGCAUCAUGGCGGAGCAUCUCGAGACAGGUGGACACGAG